rnacentral:rRNA from 1 species
UACGUAGGGUGCAAGCGUUGUCCGGAAUUAUUGGGCGUAAAGAGCUCGUAGGCGGUUUGUCGCGUCUGCUGUGGAAAACCCGAGGCUCAACCUCGGGCCUGCAGUGGGUACGGGCAGACUAGAGUGCGGUAGGGGAGAUUGGAAUUCCUGGUGUAGCGGUGGAAUGCGCAGAUAGUCAAGGAGGAACACCAAUGGCGAAGGCAGAUCUCUGGGCCGUAACUGACGCUGAGGAGCGAAAGCAUGGGGAGCGAACAGG